ensembl:lncRNA
CAAGAACUUAUAAUACUGAUAUAGAACUCACAUAUCUAUUUUUCUUAAGUAUAUGCAACUAUAAUUAAGAUAUCUCUAUAUUAUUUCAAAUUAUUUAACUUCAUGCCAAAUCAUGCUAAUCUGUUGAACUGAAGUAUCAAAGGACAUUUAUAAAAACAUUCAGUAUGUAUGCUAAUGGUAAUAGCCUGGGCUGAGCUUUCCCAUACUAUACCAACAUUAACUACAUCAAAGUCCUUGUGGUUGCUGCAACAUAACACAGACCUGCCUGUAUUAUAAUGCCUGGUUAUAAAAACACCAAAUUAAAAAGUGGCAUAUCCUUUAAUUUCUGUGCAUUUAUGACAUACACACUCGUAUCACCUAAGAGUCAGAUGGCAACCUGCUUUCAAAAUAUUAGCUCUCACAGAGACCCUCCCUGUAAUUUCAGGGACACAGCAGAACAACCUAAUGCCCAGUAAGCCUUUUUUCCUUUAAGGAACCUACAGCAGAGAAAGAACAAGCAGAGAAAGAACAAAGAAAGGUUUUCUCCACUUCAAUUUAAAACCAGAUCUGGUACAUUUUGACCUUAUACGGCAAUAUGAGGCAGGCCACCAGAUUUCACCCAGGUCACCUCAGCAUUUAGCCCUAAAAUAACUUCAAUUUGGCUAGGGCAUACUUAAAGAAAAACAAGCAAAGAAAAACAACAACAAAAACCCCACACAAUCUGUUGCUCUUUCCACCCUACACUUCUAGGAGGAUUUAUUUCAUCAAAAAAAACAGUCACAGACCAAGUUGUGCUGUCUCUACACCCUUCUGCUCAAGGGCACGGUACGAUGCCACCCCCACCGAGUAAGUGGCAAGGGGCAGGAAGGCCAGGCCGUGCCGCCGCCCGCUCUCGCACCGCCUAAAGCCCACAGCGCGGAGUCCAGUCCCGCUCCCCCGGCCAAGGCAGCGGCGGAGCAGGCCGAGGUGAGGGGAAGCGCCCGCAGGGCCCGCUCCCCUCCACCCCCCGGCCAAGGAGGGGGGAGUCAGGCUACCUCUCGAGGCAGCCGCGCCCCUUCCCGCGGCGGCGGCGGCUUCCUCCUCCGGCGAGGAGCCAUUUGGCAAGGGCAGCCGUGAGGGCCCUGCCCCCCCCCGCCCAGCCGCCAAGCUCGGAGCGGCCUCCCCGCCCGGCCGCGAAGCACGACGCGGGGCAGCGCAUAGGCCGCAGGGGACGGCGCCCCUCUGAAAGGGAGUUUCCACAGCAUAAAAGAGCACAACUGCCCUGCGCGAAGACCCUUUCCCAGCACAGCCAAGCGCGCAGAGCCUGUGACGGCGGCCAUUCCUACAGAGAGCUGGAGAAGACUUAAUCUACAGCAAACGGGUUUUUAGAAAUGUUUGUGCAAUUAACACACACUCAUGGGAAGAUACUGCUCUUACGCUCAAAGUUUCUGUCAUGCAAACAUUGUACUUAAAAAUGGCUAAUUCCAUGUCUAGGUACUUAUGUACACAUUUCUGAAAAUUAAAUCUGUAAUGCUUUUCAUGGGCAGUCUGCCCUUCUGUGGUAAUUGGAAAGAGAUGUCAGAAUAAAUAAGGUUGAUUUAGUCA